rnacentral:rRNA from 1 species
UACAGAGGGUGCGAGCGUUGUUCGGAAUUAUUGGGCGUAAAGAGCUCGUAGGCGGUUCGACAAGUCGGGUGUGAAAACUCCGGGCUCAACCCGGAGACGCCACCCGAUACUGUCGUGACUGGAGUCCGGUAGGGGAGUGGGGAAUUCCUGGUGUAGCGGUGAAAUGCGCAGAUAUCAGGAGGAACACCAAUGGCGAAGGCAGCUCGCUGGGACGUGACUGACGCUGAGACGCGAAAGCGUGGGGAGCAAACAGG